UAGGGAAUCUUCGGCAAUGGGGGCAACCCUGACCGAGCAACGCCGCGUGAGUGAAGAAGGUUUUCGGAUCGUAAAGCUCUGUUGUAAGAGAAGAACGUGUGUGAGAGUGGAAAGUUCACACAGUGACGGUAACUUACCAGAAAGGGACGGCUAACUACGUGCCAGCAGCCGCGGUAAUACGUAGGUCCCGAGCGUUGUCCGGAUUUAUUGGGCGUAAAGCGAGCGCAGGCGGUUUAAUAAGUCUGAAGUUAAAGGCAGUGGCUUAACCAUUGUUCGCUUUGGAAACUGUUAGACUUGAGUGCAGAAGGGGAGAGUGGAAUUCCAUGUGUAGCGGUGAGAUGCGUAGAUAUAUGGAGGAACACCGGUGGCGAAAGCGGCUCUCUGGUCUGUAACUGACGCUGAGGCUCGAAAGCGUGGGGAGCAAACAGG
rnacentral:rRNA from 1 species